rnacentral:rRNA from 1 species
GACGAACGCUUGCGGCGUGCUUAACACAUGCAAGUCGAACGGAAAGGCCCUGCUUUUGUGGGGUGCUCGAGUGGCGAACGGGUGAGUAACACGUGAGUAACCUGCCCUUGACUUUGGGAUAACUUCAGGAAACUGGGGCUAAUACCGGAUAGGAGCUCCUGCUGCAUGGUGGGGGUUGGAAAGUUUCGGCGGUUGGGGAUGGACUCGCGGCUUAUCAGCUUGUUGGUGGGGUAGUGGCUUACCAAGGCUUUGGCGGGUAGCCGGCCUGAGAGGGUGACCGGCCACAUUGGGACUGAGAUACGGCCCAGACUCCUACGGGAGGCAGCAGUGGGGAAUAUUGCACAAUGGGCGGAAGCCUGAUGCAGCGACGCCGCGUGCGGGAUGACGGCCUUCGGGUUGUAAACCGCUUUCGCCUGUGACGAAGCGUGAGUGACGGUAAUGGGUAAAGAAGCACCGGCUAACUACGUGCCAGCAGCCGCGGUGAUACGUAGGGUGCGAACGUUGUCCGGAUUUAUUGGGCGUAAAGGGCUCGUAGGUGGUUGAUCGCGUCGGAAGUGUAAUCUUGGGGCUUAACCCUGAGCGUGCUUUCGAUACGGGUUGACUUGAGGAAGGUAGGGGAGAAUGGAAUUCCUGGUGGAGCGGUGGAAUGCGCAGAUAUCAGGAGGAACACCAGUGGCGAAGGCGGUUCUCUGGGCCUUUCCUGACGCUGAGGAGCGAAAGCGUGGGGAGCGAACAGGCUCAGAUACCCUGGUAGUCCACGCUGUAAACGGUGGGUACUAGGUGUGGGGUCCAUUCCACGGGUUCCGUGCCGUAGCUAACGCUUUAAGUACCCCGCCUGGGGAGUACGGCCGCAAGGCUAAAACUCAAAGGAAUUGACGGGGCCCCGCACAAGCGGCGGAGCAUGCGGAUUAAUUCGAUGCAACGCGUAGAACCUUACCUGGGUUUGACAUGGAUCGGGAGUGCUCAGAGAUGGGUGUGCCUCUUUUGGGGUCGGUUCACAGGUGGUGCAUGCCUGUCGUCAGCUCGUGUCGUGAGAUGUUGGGUUAAGUCCCGCAACGAGCGCAACCCUUGUUCACUGUUGCCAGCACGUUAUGGUGGGGACUCAGUGGAGACCGCCGGGGUCAACUCGGAGGAAGGUGGGGAUGACGUCAAGUCAUCAUGCCCCUUAUGUCCAGGGCUUCACGCAUGCUACAAUGGCUGGUACAGAGAGUGGCGAGCCUGUGAGGGUGAGCGAAUCUCGGAAAGCCGGUCUCAGUUCGGAUUGGGGUCUGCAACUCGACCUCAUGAAGUCGGAGUCGCUAGUAAUCGCAGAUCAGCAACGCUGCGGUGAAUACGUUCCCGGGGCC